GCCGGGCAUGGUGGCUCAUGCCUGUAAUCCCAGCACUCUGGGAGGCUGAGGUGGGUGGAUCACCUGAGGUCAGGAGUUCGAGACCAGCCUGACCAACAUGGUAAGACCCCCCCCCUU
ensembl:misc_RNA Metazoa_SRP Metazoan signal recognition particle RNA